UACGGAGGGUGCGAGCGUUGUCCGGAAUCACUGGGCGUAAAGGGUGCGCAGGCGGCCGUAUGUGUGAGGCGUGAAAGCCCGGGGCUUAACCCCGGAAUUGCACCUCAAACUAUACGGCUAGAGCAUUGGAGAGGGUAGCAGAAUUCAUGGUGUAGCAGUGAAAUGCGUAGAUAUCAUGAGGAAUACCAGAGGCGAAGGCGGCUACCUGGACAAUUGCUGACGCUCAGGCACGAAAGCGUGGGGAGCAAAAGGG
rnacentral:rRNA from 1 species